UGCUGUGCUAGCAAUCAGUGAGACUCCGUGGGCGUAGAACCCUCCGAGCCAGGUGUGGGAUAUAAUCUCGUGGCGCGCCGUUUUUUAAGCCCGUCGGAAAAGCGCAGUAUUCGGGUGGGAGUGACCCGAUUUUCCAGGUGCCGUCCGUCACCCCUUUCUUUGACUAGGAAAGGGAACUCCCUGACCCCUUGCGCUUCCCGAGUGAGGCAAUGCCUCACCCUGCUUCGGCUCGCGCACGGUGCGCGCACCCACUGACCUGCGCCCACUGUCUGGCACUCCCUAGUGAGAUGAACCCGGUACCUCAGAUGGAAAUGCAGAAAUCACCCGUCUUCUGCGUCGCUCACGCUGGGAGCUGUAGACCGGAGCUGUUCCUAUUCAGCCAUCUUGGCUCCUCCCCUGACUGAUGUCCUCCUUAUAGGAAUGGGAAAUUCAGAUGCAGACAGGUGCUGAAGACCAUGUGAAGGCACAGGGAGGAGGUGGCCAUCUGCAAGCCAAGGAGAGAAGCCUCAGAAGAAACCAACCCUGCCAACACCGUGACCUCAGACUCCAGCCCCCAGAACUAGCCAUAGUUUGUCUUCCACAACUGGAGGUUUGAAAAGAAGGAUGAGGACACUGAAUCUCAGAGACGUCAAGUUCUUUCAUCGAGAUUCCAUAGAAUGUUCCCUGUUUCUUCAUCUAUGACAUGGGGAUAAUGUGAGUAUACCUACAUCAGAGGGCUGCGAUGAAGACUAAAUAAGCUCCUGCCAUCAAAAGUUGGAGUCUGUUUCCCCACGCCUUGAAUCUGGGCUGGCUCUAUGAUCCACUUUGGACAACAGAAUUUGGUGGAAGUGAUGCUAUGCCAAUGCUGAGGUGAGGCCUCAAGAGGCCUUGUGGGCUGUGACUCUUUUGGAACGCUGCCUAGCUGUCACGUGAACAAGGCUACUGCAUGAUGAGAGACCAUAUGGAGCCAAAACAUGCCUUUCCAGCUGAGGCCCUCCUAGUCCAGCCAGCCCUAGAUGCACAAGCUGGUGACCAAAGAUACAUGAGUGAGUCCAGAUGAGAAGUCCCUCGUUGAGCCCAGCCCAAUUGCUGAUCCACUGACUUGUGAGAUGGUAAACCUGAGAUCCAGCAGGUUCAAGGUGCCCACCCAGGAUCACUGAGCUAGA
rnacentral:lncRNA from 1 species